CUGCUCAAUGAUUUUUUAAAUUGCUGUGGUAUUUUGACUAUACAAAGGUAUUGAAAUAAGGUUUUAAUUGAAUGCUAAAAGAAUGGAAUAUCAAAGAAUAACUUUCUUAAAAUUAAAAAUUGAAAUUUUUUUAAUUUGUGUAAAAACAAUUAUAUAAAUUAAAGACAAGAAGACCCUAAGAAUUUUUAAAAUUUAAAUUAACACAUUUUUGUUUUAAUUAAAUUUUAACUGGGGCGGUUAAAAAAUAUUAAAAACUUUUUAAUUUCGAAAAUGACCCAUUAUUAUUGAAAUAUGAUAAAAUACUCUAGGGAUAACAGCGUUAUAUUUUUUGAUAGAUCAUAUUGACAAAAAAGUUUGCGACCUCGAUGUUGGAUUAGGAUACUUUUUUAAUGAAGAUAUUAAAAUAAGAAGUUUGUUCAACUUUUAAAUUCCUACUUGAUCUGAGUUCAGACCGG
rnacentral:rRNA from 1 species